rnacentral:rRNA from 1 species
GAUGAACGCUGGCGGCGUGCCUAACACAUGCAAGUCGAACGGACGAGAAGAGCCUGCUCUUCGAGUUAGUGGCGGACGGGUGAGUAACGCGUGAGCAACCUGCCUUUCAGAGGGGGAUAACAUCGGGAAACCGGUGCUAGUACCGCAUGAUGUGCGAGAACCGCAUGAUCUUCGUACCAAAGGAGCAAUCCGCUGAAAGAUGGGCUCGCGUCUGAUUAGAUAGUUGGUGAGGUAACGGCCCACCAAGUCGACGAUCAGUAGCCGGACUGAGAGGUUGAACGGCCACAUUGGAACUGAGAUACGGUCCAG